rnacentral:rRNA from 1 species
UAAGCAAAUAGUGAAAGCGUGCGGCUCGACCGCAUAUCCAUUAUUUGAACUGUAUAGCUAGAGGAUGAGAGAGGUUAUUGGAAUUUCUAGUGUAGGAGUGAAAUCCGUAGAUAUUAGAAGGAACACCGAUGGCGUAGGCAGAUAACUGGCUCAUUCCUGACACUAAGGCACGAAAGCGUGGGAGCGAACGGGAUUAGAUACCCCGGUAGUCCACGCCAUAAACUAUGGAUGCUA